CUGAUCACAAUCCAAAUUAAAAAUGCACAGUUGAUCUAGACAAGGCACCAAAAUAUUGGGUGGGACCCUCGCAGAAUAUACAAUGUGUUUUUUGAGCGGCCGGUCUGGGCACAUGUAAAUUUUGGCUUGCAGUUUCACAUUUUGCGUCCAUGGGAUGAAAUAUGCAUGAUAGUUUGCGCAUGCAUGUAUGUGCGUGUGGGC
rnacentral:lncRNA from 1 species